rnacentral:rRNA from 1 species
GAUUAACGCUGGCGGCGUGCAUAACACAUGCAAGUCGAACGAUGAAACUCAUUCGAUUUCUUCGGAAUGAAAAUGAAUGGAUUAGUGGCGAACGGGUGAGUAACGCGUGAGUAACCUGCCUUACACAAGGGGAUAGCCUCUGGAAACGGAGAAUAAUACCCUAUGAAACCAGACAAUCGCAUGAUAAUCUGGUCAAAAUGUUUAGUGGUGUAAGAUGGACUUGCGUCUGAUUAGCUAGUUGGUGAGAUAAAAGCUCACCAAGGCAACGAUCAGUAGCCGGCUUGAGAGAGUGUACGGCCACAUUGGGACUGAGACACGGCCCAGACUCCUACGGGAGGCAGCAGUGGGGAAUUUUGCACAAUGGGGGAAACCCUGAUGCAGCGACGCCGCGUGAUUUAGAAGGCCUUCGGGUUGUAAAAAUCUUUUGUAUAGGAAGAAAAUGACAGUACUAUACGAAUAAGGUCCGGCUAAUUACGUG